CAUCGCGGUCGUGCGCAGCCACCGCAGACUAGGCGUGGGUGCCGCACUGCUGGCUGCGGUCGUCGAUGAGGCCAAGCAGCAGUCGUUUCCCUCCGUGACUUUGCACGUUUGGGCCGACAACACNNNNNNNNNAAGCGAUCGCUUUCUAUCUCGCCGCUGGUUUCAAGGAGGUUCGUCACGCGGAAAUUCCCUGGCAUCCCGACCUGCCGCACACGGGCGGAAGUCUCCUCAUGAUGCUGCCGCUCGGAGUUGAAAGGGACGAAUCGGUGAGGCGGCGCCUUGCGACCGUAUCUCAAGACUCGGCGGAUGAACGAACAUCGACUUCAGCUUGAGGACAUCAUGAUUGCUCUCCCAUACGACUAUUUCCUGAUCGCAUGGUUCGUCAUCGCGGCCGCUUCCACGGCCNNNNNNUUUCGACCAGUUCAACGGAAAUCCCGAACCGACCGUGAUGAAGUGGGGCUUCAUCCUUGUG
rnacentral:misc_RNA from 1 species